AUCGAUUGUAUUAUCUUCAAGAAGGUGGCUCCUCGUAUAAAUAGGGUCGCAUUAUUUGAAGAAAGACGGUGGUGAGCACAAUCUGCUAGCUGUUCUCUCUCUCUCUCUCUUUCUCUCUCUCUCUCUCCUCUCGGGACCGCAGACAACGCCUGGAAGAAUUUGCUGAAGACAUCUCUGUCCACUUUCCAGGACAUAAGCAUAUUUAAAUCCUAAACUAACAGUGAAGUCAUGCAGGUGGAGAGGAAAUGGCACAUACUCUUGUCUAUAUUCUUUCUGCUCAUCACCUCAGGCCAGUGCAUGGACAGCAAGGACAUGAAGCAGAAAGAAAGAAGGACCCUGUUGGAUCUUAUCUUACAGGUUAUCAGAGACAGCCAGCACCGGGACAAAGGCGUCUCCAGGCGCUGUAGCAGUGGACUCCUCACUUCAGCCCAAGACAUGAAGUUCUCCUCCCGGGAAAAGCCUUACUAUGUUCCUAGGCUGGAUAACAGUAGACUCAUAGAAAUUUUUCCUAGAGAUGUAAACAUGAAAGACAAAUUCAUUCAGCAUUUCACAGG